rnacentral:rRNA from 1 species
UACAGAGGGUGCAAGCGUUGUUCGGAAUUAUUGGGCGUAAAGGGCGCGUAGGCGGUGCUGUAAGUCUGUAGUGAAAUCUCUGGGCUCAACUCAGAGUCUGCUAUAGAAACUGCAGUGCUGGAGUGUGGGAGAGGUGAGUGGAAUUCCCGGUGUAGCGGUGAAAUGCGUAGAUAUCAGGAGGAACACCGAUGGCGAAGGCAGGUCUCUGGGCUGACACUGACGCUCAUGCACGAAAGCGUGGGGAGCAAACAGG